rnacentral:rRNA from 1 species
UACGGAGGGUGCGAGCGUUGUCCGGAAUCACCGGGCGUAAAGGGCGCGUAGGUGGCCCGUUAAGUGGUUGGUGAAAUCCCGGGGCUCAACUCCGGGGCUGCCGAUCAGACUGGCGGGCUAGAGCACGGUAGGGGCAGAUGGAAUUCCCGGUGUAGCGGUGGAAUGCGUAGAGAUCGGGAAGAAUACCAGUGGCGAAGGCGUUCUGCUGGGCCGUUGCUGACACUGAGGCGCGACAGCGUGGGGAGCAAACAGG